UACAGAGGGUGCAAGCGUUAAUCGGAAUUACUGGGCGUAAAGCGUGCGUAGACGGUUACAUAAGUCGGGUGUGAAAUCCCGGAGCUUAACUCCGGAAUGGCAUUCGAAACUGUAUGGCUCGAGAUCUGGAGAGGUGAUUGGAAUUCUCGGUGUAGCAGUGAAAUGCGUAGAUAUCGAGAGGAACACCAGAGGCGAAGGCGAAUCACUGGACAGAAUCUGACGCUGAGGCACGAAAGCUAGGGGAGCAAACGGG
rnacentral:rRNA from 1 species